rnacentral:lncRNA from 1 species
CACAGAACUGCCAGAUAGGGAAGGAUAGAUCUUACCUGGCACCUAUAUCUCUUGGAAGCUGGCCUUUCUCCAAACAAUUGUGUUCUCCUGAGAAAAACUCUCUGUUAUUUGUGAGAGCCAGAUUUCAAAUAGCCAGCUGGCUGCCACUCCACAGGAAGCAGAAGAAAAGAGAAGCAGCAAGUGAAGGCUCAAAAGGUCUCAUCUGUCUGAUAAUACCCUCUUGA